GAUUUGAUCGUGGCUCAGAUUGAACGCUGGCGGCAUGCUUUACACAUGCAAGUCGAACGGCAGCGCGGGGCAACCUGGCGGCGAGUGGCGAACGGGUGAGUAAUAUAUCGGAACGUACCCAAGAGUGGGGGAUAACGUAGCGAAAGUUACGCUAAUACCGCAUACGAUCUAAGGAUGAAAGUGGGGGAUCGCAAGACCUCAUGCUCCUGGAGCGGCCGAUAUCUGAUUAGCUAGUUGGUGAGGUAAAGGCUCACCAAGGCGACGAUCAGUAGCUGGUCUGAGAGGACGACCAGCCACACUGGAACUGAGACACGGUCCAGACUCCUACGGGAGGCAGCAGUGGGGAAUUUUGGACAAUGGGCGCAAGCCUGAUCCAGCAAUGCCGCGUGAGUGAAGAAGGCCU
rnacentral:rRNA from 1 species